GCUGGGCAUGGUGGCGGGUGCCUGUAAUCCUAGCUACUCGGGAGGCUGAGGCAAGAGAAUCGCUUGAACCCAGGAGGCAGAGGUUGCAGUGAGCCAACAUCAUGCCACUGCACUCCAGCCUGGAUGACAGAGUGAGACUUUGUCUCAA
rnacentral:SRP_RNA from 1 species